CCUAUCCCUAGAGGCUUUGCAGGUGUUCUGCUGUGUGUCACAUGUACAUCAGUAGGCGGUAGAGAGGAGAGACACUAUGUCUACACUCAGUGUUCUGACCUAGGGACAUCUGAGUGAUUAGUAAACUAACACU